CCCGUAAGGGAACGUGGGGAAGUGAAACAUCUCAGUACCCACAGGAAGAGAAAACAAACGUGAUUCCGUUAGUAGUGGCGAGCGAAAGCGGAUCAGGCUAAACCUUGUAUGUGUCAAGCCGGCAGGCGUUGCAUACAGGGGGUCGUGGGACCAACAUCAUUACUCUGCCGAGUAGUGGACAAGUCAAAAAAAGAUGAUGUAGAUGAAGGACGUGGGAAAGUCCGGCAUAGAAGGUUAGACCCCUGUAGUCGAAACAUCAUCUUCUUGUUAGUUGUCAUCCCAAGUAAUACCGAACUCGUGGAAUUCGGUAUGAAUCUGGCGGGACCACCCGUUAAGCCUAAAUAUUCUCUGGUGACCGAUAGUGAACGAGUACCGUGAGGGAAAGGUGAAAAGAACCCCGCAAGGGGAGUGAAAUAGAAUCUGAAACCGUUUGCAUACAAGCCGUUGGAGCCACCUUGAGUGGUGACAGCGUGCCUUUUGAAGAAUGAGUCUACGAGUUAGUGUGGUGUGGCGAGGUUAACCCGUCGAGGGGAAGCCGUAGCGAAAGCGAGUCUGAAUAGGGCGCCAAAGUCGUACCAUCUAAACCCGAAGCGAGGUGAUCUAGCCAUGGUCAGGUUGAAGCGUGGGUAAGACUGCGUGGAGGACCGAACCCACUAACGUUGAAAAGUUAGGGGAUGAACUGUGGUUAGGGGUGAAAGGCCAAUCAAACUUCGUGAUAGCUGGUUCUCUCCGAAAUGCAUUUAGGUGCAGCGUUACGUGUUUCUUGCCGGAGGUAGAGCUACUGGAUGGCCGAGGGGACCUACAAGUUUACCAACGUCAGCCAAACUCCGAAUGCCGGUAAGUGAGAACGUAGCAGUGAGACAGUGGGGGAUAAGCUUCAUUGUCGAGAGGGAAACAACCCAGAACAGCAACUAAG
rnacentral:rRNA from 1 species